rnacentral:rRNA from 1 species
GACGUAGGGCGCGAGCGUUGUCCGGAUUUAUUGGGCGUAAAGAGCUUGUAGGCGGUCUGUCGCGUCUGCUGUGAAAAUCCGGGGCUCAACCCCGGACUUGCAGUGGGUACGGGCAGACUAGAGUGUGGUAGGGGAGACUGGAAUUCCUGGUGUAGCGGUGAAAUGCGCAGAUAUCAGGAAGAACACCCGUGGCGAAGGCGGUUCUCUGGGCCGAUACUGACGCUGAGGAGCGAAAGCGUGGGGAGCGAACAGG